rnacentral:rRNA from 1 species
GACGUAGGGCGCGAGCGUUGUCCGGAUUUAUUGGGCGUAAAGAGCUCGUAGGCGGCUUGUCGCGUCGUCCGUGAAAACCUGCAGCUCAACUGCAGGCUUGCGGUCGAUACGGGCAGGCUGGAGUUCGGUAGGGGAGACUGGAAUUCCUGGUGUAGCGGUGAAAUGCGCAGAUAUCAGGAGGAACACCGGUGGCGAAGGCGGCAUCCUGGACCAACACUGACACUGAUGAGCGAAAGCCAGGGGAGCAAACGGG